UAAAACGUAGGAGACGAGCGUUAUCCGGAUUUACUGGGCGUAAAGCGCGUGUAGGCGGUCUGGAAAGUUGGAUGUGAAAGCUCCCGGCUUAACUGGGAGAGGUCGUUCAAAACUACCGGACUAGAGUGCGGGAGAGGGAGGUGGAAUUCCGGGUGUAGUGGUGAAAUGCGUAGAUAUCCGGAGGAACACCAGUGGCGAAAGCGGCCUUCUGGCCCGCAACUGACGCUCAGACGCGAAAGCUAGGGGAGCAAACGGG
rnacentral:rRNA from 1 species